rnacentral:rRNA from 1 species
AUUGAACGCUGGCGGAAUGCUUUACACAUGCAAGUCGAGCGGCAGCACGGACUUCGGUCUGGUGGCGAGUGGCGAACGGGUGAGUAAUGUAUCGGAACGUGCCCAGUCGUGGGGGAUAACGUAGUGAAAACUACGCUAAUACCGCAUACGAUCUAUGGAUGAAAGCGGGGGAUCGCAAGACCUCGCGCGAUUUGAGCGGCCGAUAUCAGAUUAGAUAGUUGGUGGGGUAAAGGCCCACCAAGCCAACGAUCUGUAGCUGGUCUGAGAGGACGACCAGCCACACUGGAACUGAGACACGGUCCAGACUCCUACGGGAGGCAGCAGUGGGGAAUUUUGGACAAUGGGCGAAAGCCUGAUCCAGCCAUUCCGCGUGCAGGAUGAAGGCCCUCGGGUUGUAAACUGCUUUUGUACAGAACGAAAAGGUUUCUACUAAUACUAGGAGCUCAUGACGGUACUGUAAGAAUAAGCACCGGCUAACUACGUGCCAGCCGCCGCAGUAA